rnacentral:tRNA from 1 species
AUUUAUAUAAUAUAAAUUUAUUAUAUUUGACUUCCAAUCAAAAAAUCUACACUAUUAGUAUAAAUA